CAUAAGAGGUCCAGCCUGCCCAGUGACUCUGUUCAACGGCCGCGGUAUCCUAACCGUGCGAAGGUAGCGUAAUCACUUGUUCUUUAAAUGAGGACUAGUAUGAACGGCACCACGAAGGUUACACUGUCUCCUUUUUCUAAUCAGUGAAACUAAUCUCCCCGUGAAGAAGCGGGGAUUAGCCUAUAAGACGAGAAGACCCUAUGGAGCUUUAAACAAGAUAACAACUGCUAAUCCACAUUUAUUUUUCGAAACCUAAACUUUCAUCUUAGCAUCCUGAUUAUCAGUUUUAGGUUGGGGUGACCGCGGAGUAAAAAUUAACCUCCACAUUGAUACGGGAUCAUGCCCUAAGCAAAGAGCCACAACUUCAUGCAUCAUUAAACUGACAUUAAUUGACCCAAUAUUUUUGAUCAACGAACCAAGUUACCCUAGGGAUAACAGCGCAAUCCUCUUCAAGAGCUCCUAUCGACAAGGGGGUUUACGACCUCGAUGUUGGAUCAGGGUAUCCCGGUGGUGCAGCCGCUACUAAAGGUUCGUUUGUUCAACGAUUAAAACCCU
rnacentral:rRNA from 1 species